rnacentral:tRNA from 1 species
GCCUGGGUGGCUCAGUCGGUUGAGCAUCCAACUUCAGCUCAGGUCAUGAUCUUGCAGUUUGUGAGUUCGAGCCUCACGUUGGGCU